UAAUGAAGGAAGCAUGGUAAUGUGCACGGAGAGUGAGCAACUUUUAGGUCGUCAUGUCUGCUCCCUCUGAAUUUCUCUGAUUUGGGGGCCUGGAUUAGACCUACACUU
rfam:Helianthus annuus linkage group 1, whole genome shotgun sequence.